rnacentral:rRNA from 1 species
GACGAACGCUGGCGGCGUGCUUAACACAUGCAAGUCGAACGCUGAAGCCUAGCUUGCUGGGUGGAUGAGUGGCGAACGGGUGAGUAACACGUGAGUAACCUGCCCUCUUCUUUGGGAUAACGCCCGGAAACGGGUGCUAAUACUGGAUAUUCACUGAUCUUCGCAUGGGGGUUGGUGGAAAGGUUUUUUCUGGUGGGGGAUGGGCUCGCGGCCUAUCAGCUUGUUGGCGGGGUGAUGGCCUACCAAGGCUUUGACGGGUAGCCGGCCUGAGAGGGUGACCGGUCACAUUGGGACUGAGAUACGGCCCAGACUCCUACGGGAGGCAGCAGUGGGGAAUAUUGCACAAUGGGCGAAAGCCUGAUGCAGCGACGCCGCGUGAGGGAUGGAGGCCUUCGGGUUGUAAACCUCUUUCGCUCAUGGUCAAGCCGCAACUUAGGGUUGUGGUGAGGGUAGUGGGUAAAGAAGCGCCGGCUAACUACGUGCCAGCAGCCGCGGUAAUACGUAGGGCGCGAGCGUUGUCCGGAAUUAUUGGGCGUAAAGGGCUUGUAGGCGGUUGGUCGCGUCUGCCGUGAAAUCCUCUGGCUUAACUGGGGGCGUGCGGUGGGUACGGGCUGACUUGAGUGCGGUAGGGGAGACUGGAACUCCUGGUGUAGCGGUGGAAUGCGCAGAUAUCAGGAAGAACACCGGUGGCGAAGGCGGGUCUCUGGGCCGUUACUGACGCUGAGGAGCGAAAGCGUGGGGAGCGAACAGG